UACGUAGGGUGCGAGCGUUAAUCGGAAUUACUGGGCGUAAAGCGUGCGCAGGCGGUUUUGUAAGCCAGAUGUGAAAUCCCCGGGCUCAACCUGGGAAUGGCAUUUGGGACUGCAAGGCUUGAGUGCGGCAGAGGAGACUGGAAUUCCUGGUGUAGCAGUGAAAUGCGUAGAUAUCAGGAGGAAUACCGAUGGCGAAGGCGGCGCUCUGGGCCGGUACUGACACUGAGGAGCGAAAGCGUGGGUAGCAAACAGG
rnacentral:rRNA from 1 species